rnacentral:rRNA from 1 species
GUGAGGAAUAUUGGUCAAUGGACGAGAGUCUGAACCAGCCAAGUCGCGUGAAGGAAGACGGUUCUAUGAAUUGUAAACUUCUUUUGUGCAGGAAUAAAGUGGGUUACGUGUAACCUUUUGUAUGUACUGUACGAAUAAGGAUCGGCUAACUCCGUGCCAGCAGCCGCGGUAAUACGGAGGAUCCGAGCGUUAUCCGGAUUUAUUGGGUUUAAAGGGUGCGUAGGUGGAUUGAUAAGUCAGCGGUGAAAGUUUGCAGCUUAACUGUAAAAUUGCCGUUGAAACUGUCGGUCUUGAGUGCAAAUGAGGUAGGCGGAAUGUGUUGUGUAGCGGUGAAAUGCUUAGAUAUAACACAGAACUCCGAUUGUGAAGGCAGCUUACUGGGAUGCAACUGACACUGAUGCACGAAAGCGUGGGUAUCAAACAGGAUUAGAAACCCCAGUAGUCC